AUAAAUUUUUUUAUGAAUUUAUAAAGGUUUUUUGAAAAUUUAUUUUUACAUAUAAAUUUUAGUGUUAAUAUUUAAAUAUUUAAAAAAUAUUUAAUUUAAAUAUAAUAGUAAUUAAUAUUAAAAAUUUAAGAAAUUAAGAUUUAGUAAUAUUAAAAUUAAUAACAAAUUUUGUGCCAGCAGUUGCGGUUAUACAAAAGUUAAUUUAAAUUUUAUUAGUAAUAAUUAAUAUAAAAAUAAAUUAAUUUAAAUGUUAAAUUAAUAAGUGAAAUUUUAAUUUAAUUAAAAAUUAAUUUUUUAUAUAUGAAUUAAUAAAUUUUAUUAAAAACUAGGAUUAGAUACCCUAUUAUUAAAAAUUUAAAUAAAAAAUACUAAAAUAGUAUAUAAUUAUUUAUUGAAACUUAAAUAAUUUGGCGGUAUUUUAGUUCAUUUAGAGGAAUCUGUUUAUUAAUUGAUAAUCCACGAAUAAUUUUACUUAAUUUAUAAUUUUGUAUAUCGUUGUUAUAAAAAUAUUUUUAAAUAAAUUUAAUAUUUUAAAAUUUAAAUUAAAAGUUAAAUCAGAUCAAGAUGCAGAUAAUAAUUAAGAAUAUAAUGGAUUACAAUAAAUUUAUUUAAAUGAAUAUUAAAUUGAAAAAUUUAAUUGAAAGUGGAUUUAAAUGUAAUUUUAUUUAAUUUAAUAAAAUGAUUAAAAAUUAAAAUAUGUCCAUAUUGCCCGUCGCUUUCAUUAAUAAAUUGAAAUAAGUCGUACCAAAGUAGGGGUACUGGAAAGUGUUUCUAGAAAG
rnacentral:ncRNA from 1 species